GACGAACGCUGGCGGCGUGCUUAACACAUGCAAGUCGAACGAAGUGGCGAACGGGUGAGUAACGCGUAAUCAACCUGCCCUUCAGAGGGGGACAACAGUUGGAAACGACUGCUAAUACAGCAUACUGAAGUAGGGGAUUGCGUCUGAUUAGCUAGUUGGAGGGGUAACGGCCCACCAAGUAGAUGAUCGGUAGCCGGUCGUGGAGGAGGGAUGGCCACAGUUGGACUGAGACACGGCCCAGACUGCUCCGGGAAGCAGCAGUGGGGAAUCUUCCGCAAUAGAGGAAAGUCUGACGGAGCAACGCCGCGUGAGUGAUGACGGCCUUCGGGUUGUAAAGCUCUGUUAAUCGGGACGCGGUACCGGAAUAGAAAGCCACGGCUAACUACGUGCCAGCAGCCGCGGUAAUAC
rnacentral:rRNA from 1 species